UGUGAACUUCAUCUGAUCCUUAGAUUUCUCAGCACAAACACAGCUGACACUUUGGGCUAGGUAGAUGAGUGGUGAGAUGUUACCCUGGGAUUGUAGGAUGUUUGGCAGCACCCCAACCUGUACUCAGCAGGUACCACUAGUUCCCUUCCAAUUGUAGAUAGGAUUACACACCAGUAAAAGAUAAAAUCAUUUAUCAUCACCAUUUGAAAAUGUUAUCUUUAGGUAGAAAAUUCUAAUAGCAAAUUGGAGCUCCUUUUUUCAGGAAAAAUAACCUUGGGUUUUCCCUUCCCUAACAUCUUUUCCUUGGGAACAUACUGAAUUAAGAUUAGUUAUAGAUGGCUAGUGCAGGAGACUAAGUAUGAGUUCUUCAGCCUAGCUGCAGGGUAAAACACAGUUUCAAACAAAACAAUCAAAGAUUGGUUGUAGAGUAUUUCUAGGUGGGGCCAGAGAGGUAGCCCAGUGGUGCAUUGCUUACUUAGCAUAGACAAGGUUAUACAUUCAGUCUCCAGCACCAAAGAGAAAAUGAUUAAAAUCACCCCCAGAUUACUAAGUGCAUACAGAACAAGAAGAGUGCUAUGAAGCACAUUGUAAGACCCUAACUUCCUCCUAUAUGGAUGGUAUAGCUUUUGUGAGUAUGAACAUGUCUCAGAGGGGCCUUAGACUUACAUUCAUUACUGUAAGAUACUACUGCUUCCUGUGCAGUGUGACAUUUUCACAAUCCUUGGUCAUUUCUGUUCUUACCAAUGUGGUCUCUUUCCGCACAACCACCUAUCAUUUAAUAGUUUCCAGAAAGGUCCCUUGUGAACAGCAUGGACUCUGAAGAUGAUAUGCCUGAGGUUGCAGAACUGAGUGGGCCGGCCCGUUGGGGCCUAUGAAUGAAUGUCAGCCUGAACAUGCGUACAUUGCUGAUAGACAGAUGCAGAAGGAACUCUAGGGAGGGCGUGCUUUCUCAAGCACGCUUUCUGUCUGUGUAGUCCCACUUGUUACUACGCUGCUUCUGAGCACUCGCACACACAUGACACAAAACCAGUGCUGUUCUGCUCUUCUCCAAGUUAGAGCAGCAGUCAGCUGUCAUUUGGCCUUUCAGUGCUUACUACACAGAUACACAGUUUGUGUCUUCCAGAAACUAUCCUUGUCUGCUUGUAAGUUUGAUAUCUUUUUAAACUCUUUAUUUUUGUUUUAGUGAGAUUUGGAAAGAAAGUAGAAAUACCUCAUUAGUAUCACUACAGCCUCUUGACUUUUGGAGUGCCCCACUUGACUUUUGGAGUGCCGCACAGUAGAGUCUGCAGACUAUGUUUUAAUCAUAUUCCUUUAUACUGACAAAUCCAAUUUUUAAAAAUAUUUAAAAUUUUUUUUCAUAGAAUAUAUUUUGAUCAUAUUUCUCCUCCCUCAAUUUCUUCCAAAUUCUCCUUACCCAUCCUCUCUGCCUUAAACAAAAAAUAACAAUAAAAACCAAGAAAUACACACACACAUAUACC
rnacentral:lncRNA from 1 species